UAUGGAGGAUCCGAGCGUUAUCCGGAUUUAUUGGGUUUAAAGGGUGCUCAGGCGGGCCAUUAAGUCGGCGGUGAAAUUUUGCGGCUCAACCGUAAAAGUGCCUUCGAUACUGGUGGUCUUGAGUGUGGAUGAGGUAGGCGGAAUUUGUGGUGUAGCGGUGAAAUGCAUAGAUAUCACGAGGAACUCCGAUUGCUAAGGCAGCUUACUAAGCCAUAACUGACGCUCAAGCACGAAGGCGUGGGGAUCAAACAGGAUUAGAUACCCCGGUA
rnacentral:rRNA from 1 species